UACGUAGGGUGCAAGCGUUGUCCGGAAUUAUUGGGCGUAAAGAGCUCGUAGGCGGUCUGUCGCGUCUGCUGUGAAAACUCGGGGCUUAACCCCGGGCCUGCAGUGGGUACGGGCAGACUAGAGUGCGGUAGGGGAGACUGGAAUUCCAGGUGUAGCGGUGAAAUGCGUAGAUAUCUGGAGGAACACCGGUGGCGAAGGCGGCAUCCUGGACCGACACUGACGCUGAGGCGCGAAAGCUAGGGUAGCAAACGGG
rnacentral:rRNA from 1 species